rnacentral:rRNA from 1 species
AAUGGCCGCGGUAAUUUGACCGUGCUAAGGUAGCGAAAUCAAUUGGCUCUUAAUUGGAGUCGGGAAUGAAUGGGAUAACGUGGUUUGACUGUCUCCUUAUUAAUUAAUUGAAAUUACUAUAGAGAUGAAAAAGUCUUUGAGUAGAAAAAAGACGAGAAGACCCUUAGAGUUUUUCUUAAAAUAAAUUUGAUCCGUGUUUACAAAAGUUUGGUUGGGGCAACUCUAGAAAAUUAUUUGUAACUUCUCAAGCUUAUACUAGCCGAUUAUCUUAAGAUUGUACAAACUACCUUAGGGAUAACAGCAUUAUGUAAAAUUUAAGUUUGUGACCUCGAUGUUGGACUGGGAAACUAAAAGGCUAGCCGUUCUUUAGGAAAGUUCUGUUCGAACAUAGAAUUCCCACAUGAUCUGAGUU